CGGACGGGUGAGUAACGCGUGGAUAACCUGCCUCAUACAGGGGGAUAACAGUUAGAAAUGACUGCUAAUACCGCAUAAGCACACGGGAGCGCAUGCUUCCGGGUGAAAAGCUCCGGCGGUAUGAGAUGGAUCCGCGUCUGAUUAGCUGGUUGGCGGGGUAACGGCCCACCAAGGCGACGAUCAGUAGCCGACCUGAGAGGGUGGCCGGCCACAUUGGGACUGAGACACGGCCCAAACUCCUACGGAAGGCAGCAG
rnacentral:rRNA from 1 species